UCUAGAGGCUUCGGCAAUGGGGGCAACCCUGACCGAGCGACGCCGCGUGCGGGAUUGAAGGCCUUCGGGUUGUAAACCGCUGUCAUUGGGGAAGAAUGUCUGGAUGGUGAAUCCAGAAGGGACGGUACCCAAGGAGGAAGCCCCGGCUAACUCCGUGCCAGCAGCCGCGGUAAUACGGAGGGGGCAAGCGUUGUUCGGAUUUACUGGGCGUAAAGGGUGUGUAGGCGGCUGCGUAAGUCUGGCGUGAAAUCUUUACCGCUUAACGGAAAGAGGUCGCUGGAAACUGCGUAGCUCGAGUAUGGUAGAGGCAAGCGGAAUUCCUGGUGUAGCGGUGGAAUGUGUAGAUAUCAGGAAGAACACCGGUGGCGAAGGCGGCUUGCUGGGCCAUCACUGACGCUGAGACACGAAAGCGUGGGGAGCAAACGGG
rnacentral:rRNA from 1 species